UACGGGGGGAGCAAGCGUUGUUCGGAUUUACUGGGCGUAAAGGGCGCGUAGGCGGCCAGCACAAGUCAGUUGUGAAAUCUCCGGGCUUAACUCGGAAAGGUCAACUGAUACUGUGCGGCUAGAGUGCAGAAGGGGCAACUGGAAUUCUCGGUGUAGCGGUGAAAUGCGUAGAUAUCGUGAGGAAGACCAGUGGCGAAGGCGGGUCUCUGGACAGUUCCUGACGCUGAGGCGCGAAGGCCAGGGGAGCAAACGGG
rnacentral:rRNA from 1 species